GCACUCUUGUUUCUCUUCAGAUCGUAUAAAUCUUUCGCCUUUUACUAAAGACUUCCGUGGGGAGGAACAACAAGAGUUUGAUUCAAUUUUUUGAUGCCCUGCAGUAGUAGGGCC
rnacentral:snRNA from 1 species